rnacentral:rRNA from 1 species
UACGUAGGCAGCGAGCGUUGUUCGGAGUUACUGGGCGUAAAGCGUGCGUAGGCGGUGUCCUAAGUUUGGUGUGAAAUCUCCCGGCUCAACUGGGAGGGUGCGCCGAAAACUGGGGUGCUGGAGUGUGGGAGAGGUAGGCGGAAUUCCUGGUGUAGCGGUGAAAUGCUUAGAUAUCGUCAAGAACACCUAUAGCGAAGGCAGCUUACUAGGCUGUAACUGACGCUGAGGCACGAAAGUGUGGGGAUCAAACAGG